ensembl:lncRNA
CCGUCCCUGGGAUUGUCCAGGCAAGAACACUGGAGUGGGUUGCCACACAGACAAGUAAAAGGUAACUCAACCUAGGGAAACAGAUGGCAGCUCUGGGGCUCCUUUUUCAGGCUGGGAAGGGCAAUCUGGAAAUGCUUCCUAGUAGAGGGGGCUACAUGAAUUAGCCCUGGAGACAGGGGAAGGGUGGUCAUCUCUCUAGGUACCAUACAGCAUGGAGCCUCUGGUAUGGACGGGAGUGUAAACGACAAGAUUUACAUUCUCCAAAGAUCUCUCAGCGGAGUGAAUGGAUGGAGGAAAGUAAGCUUGGAACUCCUGAUACAGUCCAAGCAAAAGAUGACGCUUCACAAACCAGUUUAGCCAUUGGUUGGACAGCCAAAGGGGCUCUCUGGAAGAAGCCACCUGCUAUGUGCUGAAGCAGCCUUGUGGAGAGACCCGUGUGGUUGGGACAGAGACUGCCGACAACCGUGCGAGUGAACUUAGAAGCUGAUCCAACCCUCCAGUCCUAGGUGAGCCUUCAUAUGAGAAGGCAGCCCUGUCUGACACCUUGACCGCAAUUUCAUGGGAGACUUUGAAUCAGAGAAACUCAACUACACUGUGCCCAGAUUCCUG